CUGGCAGUCCUCCCCAAAGAACUCUGUGAGACAAUGUCAGAAAUGUCUUUUGUAGGGACCGAAAGUGCCCACAGGAUUCUUCCUGCUGUUUCCUCUACUCCUGAAUUUUGCUUGGCUCUCUAAGUUAUCUCAGCUCCAGAUCAACCGAUCAGGCAGAUAAAGGCACUCUAAGUGAAUGGAAUAUUAGAUCCAUCAGUUUUUAGUAAAACAUAAGCAAAAGCAAGCAAACAAGCACAACACACCAGGAAACCAAAUAGAUGCUGAUGGAGAUUUUUUAAAACUCUCAAUAUCUGUCAGUGGUCAAGUGGUGGAACCAGGAUUUGGCUGGUCAUCUGUAAAAAAGGCCCUUGUGACUCCAGAGAUUGCAACCAUCCUCAGGCCUUCUAGAAGUUAACAGGAGGUUUACAAAUGACCUUUAGCUUCCUUCAACUAGGCUAGC
rnacentral:lncRNA from 10 species